rnacentral:rRNA from 1 species
AUGAAGCUUCCCGGAGGCGCGACGCGCGCUUGGCUAGUCGAUUUCCUGCGCCGUCUGUUCUCUGCCCUGCGCCAGAGAGCGUUCUGGGCGGUGACGGCGGGGGGAAACAAAGAAGCCAAGAAACGGCGGCGCCGACGAGUCAACCGCGCCGCCGCCGAAGCAGUCCUCAUCCACCCCGCGCCUAUCGCCACAGAGGACCUAAUGCCGCCACUCGGCACCCUCGCAGCCACCGACGCGGCGCUCCUCCCUCCCGCGCCUCUCGCCGCCGAGGCCGAGGCCGAGGGCCUCACGCCGACACGCGGCGCCCUCUCCCGCACCAGCACCAUCGUCCUCGACGGGGCGCCGCUCUCCUCCGAGGACCCUACCCCACCGGACGGCUUCCUCCGGGCCACCAAUGGCAUCAUCCUCCACUCGGCGGCUGCCGCCCCGACGGGCCCCGCGUCGGUGGCCCCAGCCACCGGCGGGAAGCUGGAAGAUGACGGUGGCUUUACCCUAGUCGUGGGCAAGAAGAGGAAGCGGGGGAAUGCCCAGGCCGCCCUCGGCCCUGUUGCCUCGCCACCUGCUCCGCGUCGUGGCCCGCCGAGGGGCUGGUUUCGGCACCAUGCUCGCCCCGCUCCUCCUCCUCCGAGCCGCCGUAUUCCGCUCGCAGCCCGGGUGAGGCCUCCUGCCACGGCCAGUAUCCCAGCUUCGUCUCCUGCACUUGCUCCCAGCGUCCCUGCUGCCACGGCCAGAGGCCCAGCUUCGUCCCCUGCACCUGCUGCCACGGGCAGCGGCCCUGCUGCGUCCCCUUCUUCCAUCAUCCCUCAGGAACUGGACGACAGGGAAAAGGAGCGAUCCCUUCACCUACAGUUCUGGGAGGAGAUGUCAAAGCUGAAAGGCGACAAGAUAUACUGUCUGAUCUGUUACUUGGAGCGUCGCCAAAAACUAGUGACUAUGCAGAAUGAUCAGGGUGAUAUCAAACGUCACAAUAAAGCAUUUCACAAGGGGCGUCUUGUGAAAUGCAGAAGUAAGGGUUGCCUUUUGGUGGCAACUAACGGACACGACAUUGGCAUUCAUGCCAUUUGUUGCCACCCUCACAUGCUCUGA